CCUACGGGAGGCAGCAGUAGGGAAUAUUGCUCAAUGGGGGAAACCCUGAAGCAGCAACGCCGCGUGGAGGAUGAAGGUUUUCGGAUUGUAAACUCCUUUUGUUAGAGAAGAUAAUGACGGUAUCUAACGAAUAAGCACCGGCUAACGCCGUGCCAGCAGCCGCGGUAAUACGGAGGGUGCAAGCGUUACUCGGAAUCACUGGGCGUAAAGAGCGCGUAGGCGGGAUAGCAAGUCAGAUGUGAAAUCCUAUGGCUUAACCAUAGAACUGCAUUUGAAACUGUUAUUCUAGAGUAUGGGAGAGGUAGGUGGAAUUCUUGGUGUAGGGGUAAAAUGCGUAGAGAUCAAGAGGAAUACUCAUUGCGAAGGCGACCUGCUAGAACAUAACUGACGCUGAUGCGCGAAAGCGUGGGGAGCAAACAGGAUUAGAUACCCCAGUAGUC
rnacentral:rRNA from 1 species